rnacentral:misc_RNA from 1 species
UCUCUUCUUCUUGGCCCUCUUGUGGGUGCCAAGCUUUCUCUUUGCCACCUUCAGUGCACGCUUGUCCUUGCCAACUUUGAGAAGCUCAGUGAUACGCUUCUCAUAGGGAGCAAAUCCAGCAACCUCCCUGAUCAAGUUCCUGACAAAGGUCACCCUCUUGGUGGAUUUCCCCUUGCGGUCGGACGGGCGAGGCGGCAGCUCGCGCUUGGUGACGACGUGGCCCUUGUUGAUGCCCACGAAGAGCCCGGACUUCGGCUGCGACGGCG